rnacentral:rRNA from 1 species
UAAGCGACUAAGCGUACACGGUGGAUGCCCUGGCAGUCAGAGGCGAUGAAGGACGUGCUAAUCUGCGAUAAGCGUCGGUAAGGUGAUAUGAACCGUUAUAACCGGCGAUUUCCGAAUGGGGAAACCCAGUGUGAUUCGUCACACUAUCAUUAACUGAAUCCAUAGGUUAAUGAGGCGAACCGGGGGAACUGAAACAUCUAAGUACCCCGAGGAAAAGAAAUCAACCGAGAUUCCCCCAGUAGCGGCGAGCGAACGGGGAGCAGCCCAGAGCCUGAAUCAGUGUGUGUGUUAGUGGAAGCGUCUGGAAAGGCGCGCGAUACAGGGUGACAGCCCCGUACACAAAAAUACACAUACUGUGAGCUCGAUGAGUAGGGCGGGACACGUGGUAUCCUGUCUGAAUAUGGGGGGACCAUCCUCCAAGGCUAAAUACUCCUGACUGACCGAUAGUGAACCAGUACCGUGAGGGAAAGGCGAAAAGAACCCCGGCGAGGGGAGUGAAAAAGAACCUGAAACCGUGUACGUACAAGCAGUGGGAGCACGCUUAGGCGUGUGACUGCGUACCUUUUGUAUAAUGGGUCAGCGACUUAUAUUCUGUAGCAAGGUUAACCGAAUAGGGGAGCCGAAGGGAAACCGAGUCUUAACUGGGCGUUAAGUUGCAGGGUAUAGACCCGAAACCCGGUGAUCUAGCCAUGGGCAGGUUGAAGGUUGGGUAACACUAACUGGAGGACCGAACCGACUAAUGUUGAAAAAAUUAGCGGAUGACUUGUGGCUGGGGGUGAAAGGCCAAUCAAACCGGGAGAUAGCUGGUUCUCCCCGAAAGCUAUUUAGGUAGCGCCUCGUGAAUUCAUCUCCGGGGGUAGAGCACUGUUUCGGCAAGGGGGUCAUCCCGACUUACCAACCCGAUGCAAACUGCGAAUACCGGAGAAUGUUAUCACGGGAGACACACGGCGGGUGCUAACGUCCGUCGUGAAGAGGGAAACAACCCAGACCGCCAGCUAAGGUCCCAAAGUCAUGGUUAAGUGGGAAACGAUGUGGGAAGGCCCAGACAGCCAGGAUGUUGGCUUAGAAGCAGCCAUCAUUUAAAGAAAGCGUAAUAGCUCACUGGUCGAGUCGGCCUGCGCGGAAGAUGUAACGGGCUAAACCAUGCACCGAAGCUGCGGCAGCGACGCUGAUGCGUUGUUGGGUAGGGAGCGUUCUGUAAGCCUGCGAAGGUGUGCUGUGAGGCAUGCUGGAGGUAUCAGAAGUGCGAAUGCUGACAUAAGUAACGAUAAAGCGGGUGAAAAGCCCGCUCGCCGGAAGACCAAGGGUUCCUGUCCAACGUUAAUCGGGGCAGGGUGAGUCGACCCCUAAGGCGAGGCCGAAAGGCGUAGUCGAUGGGAAACAGGUUAAUAUUCCUGUACUUGGUGUUACUGCGAAGGGGGACGGAGAAGGCUAUGUUGGCCGGGCGACGGUUGUCCCGGUUUAAGCGUGUAGGCUGGUUUUCCAGGCAAAUCCGGAAAAUCAAGGCUGAGGCGUGAUGACGAGGCACUACGGUGCUGAAGCAACAAAUGCCCUGCUUCCAGGAAAAGCCUCUAAGCAUCAGGUAACAUCAAAUCGUACCCCAAACCGACACAGGUGGUCAGGUAGAGAAUACCAAGGCGCUUGAGAGGACUCGGGUGAGGAACUAGGCAAAAUGGUGCCGUAACUUCGGGAGAAGGCACGCUGAUAUGUAGGUGAAGUCCCUCGCGGAUGGAGCUGAAAUCAGUCGAAGAUACCAGCUGGCUGCAACUGUUUAUUAAAAACACAGCACUGUGCAAAACACGAAAGUGGACGUAUACGGAGUGACGCCUGCCCGGUGCCGGAAGGUUAAUUGAUGGGGUCAGCGCAAGCGAAGCUCUUGAUCGAAGCCCCGGUAAACGGCGGCCGUAACUAUAACGGUCCUAAGGUAGCGAAAUUCCUUGUCGGGUAAGUUCCGACCUGCACGAAUGGCGUAAUGAUGGCCAGGCUGUCUCCACCCGAGACUCAGUGAAAUUGAACUCGCUGUGAAGAUGCAGUGUACCCGCGGCAAGACGGAAAGACCCCGUGAACCUUUACUAUAGCUUGACACUGAACAUUGAGCCUUGAUGUGUAGGAUAGGUGGGAGGCUUUGAAGUGUGGACGCCAGUCUGCAUGGAGCCGACCUUGAAAUACCACCCUUUAAUGUUUGAUGUUCUAACGUUGACCCGUGAUCCGGGUUGCGGACAGUGUCUGGUGGGUAGUUUGACUGGGCGGUCGUUCCUCCUAAACGAGUAACGGAGGAGCACGAAGGUUGGCUAAUCCUGGUCGGACAUCAGGAGGUUAGUGCAAUGGCAUAAGCCAGCUUGACUGCGAGCGUGACGGCGCGAGCAGGUGCGAAAGCAGGUCAUAGUGAUCCGGUGGUUCUGAAUGGAAGGGCCAUCGCUCAACGGAUAAAAGGUACUCCGGGGAUAACAGGCUGAUACCGCCCAAGAGUUCAUAUCGACGGCGGUGUUUGGCACCUCGAUGUCGGCUCAUCACAUCCUGGGGCUGAAGUAGGUCCCAAGGGUAUGGCUGUUCGCCAUUUAAAGUGGUACGCGAGCUGGGUUUAGAACGUCGUGAGACAGUUCGGUCCCUAUCUGCCGUGGGCGCUGGAGAACUGAGGGGGGCUGCUCCUAGUACGAGAGGACCGGAGUGGACGCAUCACUGGUGUUCGGGUUGUCAUGCCAAUGGCACUGCCCGGUAGCUAAAUGCGGAAGAGAUAAGUGCUGAAAGCAUCUAAGCACGAAACUUGCCCCGAGAUGAGUUCUCCCUGACUCCUUGAGAGUCCUGAAGGAACGUUGAAGACGACGACGUUGAUAGGCCGGGUGUGUAAGCGCAGCGAUGCGUUGAGCUAACCGGUACUAAUGAACCGUGAGGCUUAACCU